rnacentral:lncRNA from 1 species
AUAUGGGCAGAGAUAAACCGAGGAGAUUUCAGAAAUAUCCAUCCUGUAUUAAAAAAAUGACAUAAACAAAGGAAAAUACAUAUUUUACUUGGUAUGUACACACAGACGGCGCGUGCCCAGAGAGAGGGAGAGUAAAAUAACAAUGGCAGCGAUAUCUGCGCUAGAUACGAAAACCUUGGAUGCUAUAUAAGGAAAUAACAAUAAAAUAAUGGAAGACUCCUUAACGAAGUAAGAAUUUCAAAUAACUUCGGUCCUGCAAUAACCGUUGAUUUAAUGGUUUCAUUUACAAGGUCUGAAAAUGGUAGAAAAAAGCUUUCUCCUUGAAAGUUGGUCAAACAUUUUUUGUGCCUUGCGUGUUUACAACAGACUGCCUUCUAUGUAUGACCUCAUUUACAAUCUAGUCCCCUUCAACAUUUAGUGUGUUAAUUUAUCAUCUAUUUCCUGCUACCAUGCCAUUAAGGUUAGCACAGAAUCCUGGUCCGAAUCCUGUAAAAUAGAAAAAUAUCAUUAGACUCUGCGGCCAUAAAUGAAAUGAAUAUCAUUAUUCCCACUAUAACACAGGUUAGGGUCAGACGCUCGUGCUUCAGUAUUGAAAAGGUUCCUAAUUUUGUGGGGAUUGUGGCACCUUCCGUUGGGUAUUCUUCUCUAGGUUCUUUACUUGUGUGUAUCUGCAUAGGUAUUUGUUUCAUAUUUUUGGUUAGGGAAAGGGUCAUAUUAGAGACCCUGCAGCUUUAAUAGUUGAAAACUAUUAUUGUUUUUGUCAUUUAAUAACAAGUAACUACGGACUUCCCUAAUGUAAUAGAUCUCAUGGUCUAGAAAUACCCGAUAUGUAUCAGGGACCUUGUUAUGUAACUGCGGCAAAAUCAGUACAUGAAGAUUUAAUUUGUCCACCUUUUUCAACAAUUUCUUGUCAAUUUAUGUAUCAAGUUGCAUAUUUUAUUUAGUUUAUGAGUUGUUUUUAGCCUUAUAGGUUCCUCGUCCUUUUUGUAAUUCAAUUGGAGAUUGUACAUUUUCAAAUGAAUACGCCGUCCUUCCCAACUCAGUAUUAUCCUUCUGUUUUGCAUCAAAUGGAGAGCAGCAGGACAUACGGAAGUAGUGAAUAAACUAACUACAAUCAAGCUGUCUAAAAAGGCUGAAGGAGGUGUCUUCUAAGUUUUGAGGGACUUAAUUCUUGUGAAAUUGCUGUAAUUUUUCCAUACUAACCAUGGAGAUUUAGUAUCGUUGAUGUUUUGGCACUCUGACUUUUCAUGUCCAAUAACAACGUAGCCACCGUUAAGUAAAACUUAUCUGUUUUGAUUUUUGUUACGGGAUUAUAUGUCGAUUCAGGUGUUGUUUGAAGUCACUAUAUAUGUACAAGUUCUUUGCGAUGGAUUGUGAAAAAUUGACUUAUGAUUGGAGGACCUUCCUUACUGUAAUUAGGUGCCUCCUUGCUGAAGUUUUAGAUUUCUGCGCCGACAUCUUCAAAUUGUGGGGUAAUCCGAUGCAAAUACCUAAACCCUUGUAGGAAAAUUGAAAUUUGUCUUAAAUCUAAAUAUGGCAUGUUUUGGAAUAGGAAAGUAUUUCCUAAUCAGUUCUUUCCAGGAUGGAAUUACUUUUCAAAUUUAAAUACAGCACGUUUUUCCAUGCUGGGAGAAAAUAUUUUACUUCAUAUAUCUCCCUAUCGAAAAAUUUACGAUAGGAACCUAAAAAGGAAAGAAUUGCAUUUUUUACCUCAGGUGGGGCGGAGCGGGGCAAAUUUGGGACCUUUGUUGCCGGGGCUUUCCCUAUUUUUUGGAAAAAAUAAUAAAUAAAUAAAUAAGUGAACAUGUCUGGAAAAAAAAAAAUAUAUAUAUAUAUAUAUAUGUAUGUAUGUAUAUAUAUUCAUAUAAAUUAAGUAAAUGCAUACAUAUUUACCUUUGCAUAAAAAAACAGCAGAGACAAUGGAACUAGUGACCCACUGCACGACAGCCAUAAUGAUAAUCCAAACCAACAUGCGCUUGUGGAAAGCCCAGAAAUCAAUUUUCUUGAAUUGAUGCUUCCGCUCGAGCGCUUGAAUCCUCAUGCUGUCGUUGGAUUCAAUGCGGUCUGUUCUUCGAGGCGUAAGGCUUUGGUUUUAUUUUUGAACUCACCCACAUUUCGAUGAAAGUAUUCCAGUCUCUUCUCGAGCUCUGCAACGGGGGUCACCAGCCUAUUAAUUUUUUUGUAGGUGAUUGAGAUGGCAACCAAAAAAGCCAACAAGGAGAUGGUUGACAAUGAGGAUAGUACUACUCCACCAGCAUAAGACAUUGGUAAUAUUACGUUAGAUCCGAUGCUAACUCCCACCAGCAAUUGUGC